UGGACCUGAAUCCAGGCCAAGGUCACCCGCUGAAUUUAAACAAAUCAUAAAACGGGGAAAAA
rnacentral:rRNA from 1 species